rnacentral:lncRNA from 1 species
GAAGAAUUUAACAUUCCACUCCUACCACCCUCCCCCACUUCCCGGCUUCAGCAACAUAAUUUUUAAAAGAGAAGUACAUCCCAAUUGCUCUGUGUAGGUGGUGCAGUGGGAGGAGGUGAAAUGCAAGCUUUAUUUUUCCCGACUGCUUGUCAUCCAAUUCCCCGCUUUGCUCUGACUUUCAUGAGUGAUGAGGUCAUCCUGGCCCAGGAAAAUCAAACUCCUAUUUUUCAAACCCAAUAAAGGCCGGCAUUGUAUGCCUGCGUAAACAGAGGCCAGACGGGUCGGGUGGCAGGAACACGAGCUGCCCGCCCUCUGGCGGUCGCGUGAGACAGUUGUGCCCUGCGCUCCGACGAACAGCGACAAGGGGGCGGAGAGGCUGCGUGCUAAAAUGACGCAAAGAUCCAUUACAGCCACGGCAGGGGAGACGAUGCCGCAAGGGGCUGAUGCGCGCCACAGAACAGCCUCGCUGGCUGGUCCUGUCUUCGUCCCGCCUCCCUUCCGCGCGGGGUGGGCGUGGGAGGAUACACUCCCGCAGUCGGCGGCCCCACUGCUCUCUAUAGGACUCUUUCCGCGAACCGACCCCUCAAGAACUCACUCACGCCUAUUCCUUACCUCGAUGGAAUCCUUAGUCUUUAAACUGAAAGAACCCAAAAGACAAAAUAAUAAUCGUCAGGGGCCUUCCUGCAGAUGGAGAGUCCGUGCUGGCUGCUUUUAACCAUCCAAGACUUGACUGCCUGCAGACAAAGGUUUCCAACCUGGCUUACCGAAGUGAUUGCGUUACUCAGGCCUUUCUCAGACAGUUGUUGCUAUAAAUAGGUACAGUCUCCCUCCUCCCGCGUCAGAGAACGAGUGAGAAUGGAUUUACAGCAGUCUGUCUGGUUGCAUUAUGGUGAAGACCUUGGUGAGCUGUCUGCGGGCUCCAUCCAGCCCCUAACGUUACCAGGACACGGGACAUUCCCAUUUUCUGCAAUGGGAAGAAGUGGGUGGAAGUCACCUCCAAAAAUAUAUAAAGAAAUGUCCACCCCUAGCAUUGGUGUUAAAGUUGUCCAACUGUUUUCAGUUUUUGAAGAUGCUGCAGAAAAAGAGGUAAAAUCUGAUACAGCAACCCCUCCUCAGAAACACAAAAUAAAUCAUAGAGGAAAACAUUCA